rnacentral:rRNA from 1 species
GACGAACGCUGGCGGCGUGCUUAACACAUGCAAGUCGAACGGAAAGGCCCUGCUUUUGUGGGGUGCUCGAGUGGCGAACGGGUGAGUAACACGUGAGUAACCUGCCCUUGACUUUGGGAUAACUUCAGGAAACUGGGGCUAAUACCGGAUAGGAGCUCCUGCUGCAUGGUGGGGGUUGGAAAGUUUCGGCGGUUGGGGAUGGACUCGCGGCUUAUCAGCUUGUUGGUGGGGUAGUGGCUUACCAAGGCUUUGACGGGUAGCCGGCCUGAGAGGGUGACCGGCCACAUUGGGACUGAGAUACGGCCCAGACUCCUACAGGAGGCAGCAGUGGGGAAUAUUGUACAAUGGGCGGAAGCCUGAUGCAGCAACGCCGCGUGCGGGAUGACGGCCUUCGGGUUGUAAACCGCUUUCGCCUGUGACGAAGCGUGAGUGACGGUAAUGGGUAAAGAAGCACCGGCUAACUACGUG